AAUGACGAAGUACUUCGGUAUGUAAAGUUCUUUUAUCAAGGAAGAAAAGCAAAUGGCGAACCAUUUGUUUGCCGGUACUUGAUGAAUAAGCCCCGGCUAAUUAUGUGCCAGCAGCCGCGGUAAGACAUAAGGGGCAAGUGUUAUCCGGAAUUAUUGGGCGUAAAGGGUGCGUAGGCGGUCUAGUAAGUCAGUGGUGUAAUGGCAACGCUUAACGUUGUCCGGCUAUUGAAACUGCUAAACUUGAGUUAGAUAGAGGCGAGUGGAAUUCCAUGUGUAGCGGUAAAAUGCGUAAAUAUAUGGAGGAACACCAGAGGCGUAGGCGGCUCGCUGGGUCUUAACUGACGCUGAGGCACGAAAGCGUGGGGAGCAAACAGGAUUAGAUACCCUGGUAGUCCACGCCGUAAACGAUGAGUACUAAGUGUCGGGUUAAACCGGUACUGAAGUUAACACAUUAAGUACUCCGCCUGAGUAGUACGUACGCAAGUAUGAAACUUAAAGGAAUUGACGGGACUCCGCACAAGCGGUGGAUCAUGUUGUUUAAUUCGAAGAUACCCGAAAAACCUUACCAGGUCUUGACAUGUUUUUGCAAAAUGAUAGUAAUAUCGUGGAGGUUACCAGAAACACAGGUGGUGCAUGGUUGUCGUCAGCUCGUGUCGUGAGAUGUUAGGUUAAGUCCUAAAACGAGCGAAACCCUUAUCGUUAGUUGCCAGCACGUUAUGGUGGGGACUUUAACGAGACUGCCAAUGAUAAAUUGGAGGAAGGUGAGGAUCACGUCAAAUCAGCAUGCCCCUUAUGACCUGGGCUACAAACGUGAUACAAUGCUGUACAGAAAAAGCCUUAGAGAUCUUCUCUUUUUUUGUGG
rnacentral:rRNA from 1 species